UAGCAACCAAUAAUAUCCAACAUCUCAAUUUUACUGGCAACCAAAAAGCAAAACUAUAGUUGUUAAUAGAUAUGUAUGUAGUCGUAAAAGUAUUAUUCUGAUUGAUAAUAAUUCUAAACAAAAACAAACAAAUUAUAGCGUAGCUGACCAUCACAAAUCUUUUAAAUUAACAUAGAUAUCCAAACCACUAUUCAAACCGACUAAUCCCAAAACGACCACUUAUAGCACGAGUAGCUCGGAGUGAUGCAUUUAAACCUCCACGGCCACAAGAGGUUUUAUCCCUACUUGGAAUUGAAACUGAGACCUCCAGACACUUUUGAACUCAAGCUCCAUGGCCACAAGAGGUUUUAUCCCUACUUGGAAUUGAAACUGAGAGAGGUUUUAUCCCUACUUGGAAUUGAAACCGAGACCUCCAGACACUUUUGAACUCAAGAACUCAAAGCUCAAACCAAAAGACAGCUGUUAAUCUUUGAAGGCUUGGUGCUAGCGGAAAAAAAUUUCAUUUGAUGAAAGAUGAUUUUGGAAGAACAAAAUGUGGUUUUGAAGAAACCUAGUAAUCUUAAUCAGUAUGGUGUUAUUCCCAGCCUGUUGUUUUGGUAAUCCAUUAAGCAAGCAACAGAUACUGGAGAAUGAAAGAUAAGAAACCAGAACAACCCUCACUUUUCAUUUAAAAAAAUGGAACAAAUAGUGUAGAUCAAGGUUUAGGAGAUAUAAACCAGUAGUUGCAAUUCAAAAUCAUAUAAAAAAACAAUUUACAGAAAUUUUUGUUUGAAUUAAUGACUGGGGGAAAAAAUGAAACGGGAAUGAGGCAUCUCAGAAUUCCUUACCCCAUGGUUUUCUUCGUUAUGAAUCGAAGUGCAAGGAUAACAAAGUUGAAAGUACCAUCACCACAUCACACAACUGUAAUGGAUGUUACUCAAGUAAUCAAACGGCUAUCAGCUUACCGUUAGCCGGAUUCGGAAUUAAUUUGAAAUCGGAUCUCAGGAAGAUAAUAUUAUCAUCAGUUUCCGGUCAGGAAAUUGCAGAUAGAUAACGCAGUUUCUUCAAAUACAUCAUCGAUCCGCCGUUUCAAUUCCGUAAUAAACUAAAAGGAAACAAAAAAAUGUAACUCAUAUCUGCAUGAUAUCUUAAGGAAAAGAACAAUUUCAGUUUUAGAAUGACAUUACACCGUAUGCUUAUAGCGGAAGCACCAUGAGGAUUAAGAACCCUAAUACUAAACAAUUCAAGGAGAUUUGAACUUUAUACAAAUUAACUUAAAAAAAAACGAUUUUCAUAAGUUUGUGAAAAUGGAAACGGAAAAAGGAUUGAGCAUCUCAGAAUUACUUUCCCCAUGGUUCUCUUCAUUAUGAAUCAAAGUGCAAGGAUAACGAAGUUAAAAGUAUCAUCAUCGAUGCUAAAUCCAAUACCACACCAUCAAUUUCAUGUUUAUCAAGAAAACAGAAUCAUAAAACCAUUAAAAAUCAAUAAUAACAAGCAUACACUACUGAACUUGGGUAGCAAACGAGUAAUCAGCUUACUGUGUGCUGGAUUCGUUAUAGAUCAGAAAUCAGAUCUCAGGAAGAUCAUAUUAUCAUCAGUUUCCGUCAAGGAAUUUACAGAUAGAUAACGCAGUUUCUUCAAAAACAUCAUCGAUCACCAGAUUCACAACACUAUAAACACUUACAAAUUCUGUAACAACCAAUAAAUAAGCAAAAAAAAA